GGAGUCUUUUUGAAUCUGGCUCUUUUCCUACUGCUAUACAGUCUAAGUCACAGACCAGGUAGUUUGAUGCUCAUCCCAUAGUACGUGCUUUUUAAAUAGGAAAUGGCCAAAUAAAAGGAUUGCAAGAUAUUUCUCCUGCUUAUUCAGGGCAGCUUUAUUUUCUAACCUUGGUGACAUGACGGUUCUGGAAACAGAAUGUUGAAUUAAAUAGAAAGUGGAUACACAGUCCAGGAGUUCUGCCAUCUCAGAAAUAUAGACCUGAAGCUCUACUUGAAUGUCAAGUCUGGAGUCACCUGAACACUAUCCCUCCAAGGAGCUCAGGACAGACACGAGUGUCAUGCAUGGUCUUCUGGCCUCAUCCAUGACUGGUGUCACAGCACCUGGAAGAAGUCCUAUCCUUCUCCAAACAGCUCCCUGCAUCUUGUCUUUAUUGCACUGGCAUGUGACAUCUCUCAUGUGACAUCCCUCAUUUGACAUCCCUCAGCCUUUUAGGUUUUCAAAAGAGGCUGCCUUUGCUGUGAAGGACAAGUCAGACUUAGAAUCUUCUCUGUCAGUCUGUUUGGCCCGGUGUUACAGAUCAGUUGGAAGCUUGGCGGAGAGUAGAGUUGAGAGCAAAGUCAGGAUUUCCAGUUGGGAAAGAAACUCCAGGAGGCAGGCAGAGAGAAAAUACAAUGGCAAAGUAAAGAAGCCACCUGUCAAAAACCUGGAGAGCAAAGAACAUUACAAACACAGAAAGAUGUCUAAAUGAAGAGAUUCACGGGAGAGCAAAACCGAAGCAAAUCUAUCUACCUCAGAAGACAAGCAGAGGAACCCAAACAGACAGCUACCUCCUGCUUAUGAGCCACACUCUGCCCAAGAGGCGUGGCCUACUUGACCCCUCCAGAAGGUGUUUUGUGAGAGCUCUAGACAGAUAGAAAGCCUCACUUUGUGACCAGGGAGGCCCUAUAGCCACAAUUACAGUACUAAAGGCAGGCCUGGUGAACCAAUCAAAAAUUCCCUUCAGGCAACAUAAUCACAGCAUAAAAACCAGUACUGACUCUGCCCUACUCUGUCUUCUUCCCCAGCUCUGUAGUGCACACAGUCACUCUUUCCUCAGGAAGACACUGAGUAGGUGCUCUGCAGGCACACGGACUCUUUCAAAUUGGAAAGUCACCCGCCUUCUGGUGUCCAGAGAAGCCAUGCUGGCCACAGGAUGUGCAUGGCUGGGGUCCAGGCACCCUGGCAGGUUUUCAGGGAUCUCUGCCUUGUCUCAGCCAAGUGAACUCUUACAGCCAAGGACAGACAUGCAAUCUGGUGCCCAGGAGCAUAGGGAAGAAACCUUGGUCUUGCUUGAAUCAAGAGUCUCAGUUUAUAUGUACCAAGAGUGAGGAGCUAAAGGGUCAGUGUGGGUGUUGGCCCAGGAUGUAAAUGUCUGUAUCAAAGAACUUAGAUUUACAGAAAGCAGUUUUACAUGUCUUGGGUGUGAGACAAUAUCUUGAGGAUUCACUGUGUAAUUAGAACAACAAAAUAGAUGCAGAGUCCAGUCUAAAGGUGAAUGUUUGCAUCACCAGGGACAGGAGAAGGGUUUGAACUCUCCAGGUCUCUGGGUUCAGCUUCUGGCCUGAUUGAUAAGGGCAGGUAGGAACUACAAUUCAAAAGGCAAAGAUUGGCAUAUGCCCCCACUGUGUGCUGAACAUGCCUACUCUGUGUAUGAAGUUUCUGUAUCUUUAUUUGUCCCCUAGUUUCUAAGCCCCUGGUGUCUGUGUUUUAUUUAUUUAUAAUUUUAUCUGUACUCAGUGUGCUUGUUUGGGGCUGUUUUAUUUUCUUGGUAUUGCUUGGCAUUGAGCCUGGGACAUCAUGUAUCCGAGGCAAAUGCUCUACCAGGAUGCCACAGCCUCUGCCCUUGUUUUUGGUUUCUUUGAAAUGGAUUGGGCCCUGUUGCCCAGGUAAUCUCAAACUCCUUUUAUACUCAGCCUCCCAAGUAGCCUGGACCAUGGCUGUUCAACACAGUUGGCUGCCUAGAUGUUCUCAGAGACCAUGAAGCACAGCUCCUGGCCAUGUGCUGUGCAAAGGCUAGACACUAUGACGACAAGGAUGGUGUCUUGAGUUAAUGGGUGUCUUUUUGUCUGUCUCUGUCUUCCCUCCACCAUUAAGCAUUGCCUUUUCUCCUUUAGCUAUAGAGACUCUUUAUCUUGUUCUAUAUUAACUGUGAGAUGUGAGCUUUUGGUAUAUUUUCUCAUUUCAAUUCAGCACAGAUAGGCGCCAGACAUUCACAUGGGUUUAGAAGCCAUGAAUCAUGGUUUGAAUCUGAAAUUUCCUCUACAAGCUCAUGUCUUGAAUAUUUAUUUCCAAUGUUUGAAUAGUGGCACUAUUUGGGGGAGAUGGGGGAACCUUUUGGUGGUGGGACCUGGAUCACAGCAGUAGGCCAGUAGGGACCCAGCCCUUAAGUGUUACAGCCUGGCUGCUGGUUCUUUCCUCUCUGCUCUCUGUUCCACAGUGAUGUAGACAGUCUAUGGCAGACAUUGCUGCUUCUGGGAGCUGGGAUGCUUGGCCAUGUCUUCCUCUCCAUGACAAGGACUCCCUAAAACUGUGAACCAAAAUAAAUUCUCUCACCCCUGU
rnacentral:lncRNA from 1 species